rnacentral:rRNA from 1 species
UGGGGAAUAUUGGACAAUGGGCGCAAGCCUGAUCCAGCCAUGCCGCGUGAGUGAUGAAGGCCUUAGGGUUGUAAAGCUCUUUCGCCGGUGAAGAUAAUGACGGUAACCGGAGAAGAAGCCCCGGCUAACUUCGUGCCAGCAGCCGCGGUAAUACGAAGGGGGCUAGCGUUGCUCGGAAUCACUGGGCGUAAAGCGCACGUAGGCGGAUCGUUAAGUCAGGGGUGAAAUCCUGGAGCUCAACUCCAGAACUGCCCUUGAUACUGGCGAUCUCGAGUUCGAGAGAGGUUGGUGGAACUCCGAGUGUAGAGGUGAAAUUCGUAGAUAUUCGGAAGAACACCAGUGGCGAAGGCGGCCAACUGGCUCGAUACUGA